UACGAAGGGGGCUAGCGUUGUUCGGAAUUACUGGGCGUAAAGCGCACGUAGGCGGAUCGAUCAGUCAGGGGUGAAAUCCCAGAGCUCAACUCUGGAACUGCCUUUGAUACUGUCGGUCUAGAGUAUGGAAGAGGUGAGUGGAAUUCCGAGUGUAGAGGUGAAAUUCGUAAAUAUUCGGAGGAACACCAGUGGCGAAGGCGGCUCACUGGUCCAUUACUGACGCUGAGGUGCGAAAAGCGUGGGGGAGC
rnacentral:rRNA from 1 species